GAUGGAGAGUUAUGAUCGCUCAGGAGGGAUUAAUCUAGUGUCCUCAGAGCUUUGGAUAGUGAAGGAAUACGCAGAACUGCAGAGACAGAGUGGAAGACGGUAAUUACAUCUGAGUUUGACACUUUAACCCCUUUCGCCCCGACACUAGCGAUCAUUCCGCCGGCGGAAUAGAAAACGACUUAUCGGACAUUUUCAAUUAGUAUAAACAAAUGAGUUAUUGUAUCACCGCAGUUCUGCUACGAGAUUAGUCAGGACACUUGUGGCUUUCUGUAUGUACAGUUUUAUGUCUGUGUGCUUGACUGCUGGUGAGCAGGGGGAUGGGAAAGGGGCGGAGUUUCAGCUCCCUACUGGGCAAACAAUUCACACCUCUCCACGAAAACAUUGGGACAGAGAUAAAUCGGAGAGCAAGACUAAAGCUUUUUUGAUAGUAAAACACCGUAUACAACUGCCACAAUAAAAUUAUAACAUUUAAACCAAAGGUCGGACUUGUAGAAACGUUUACUACUUUACAUUACCUACA